CAGUAGCCGCGGUAAUACGUAGGUGGCAAGCGUUGUCCGGAAUUAUUGGGCGUAAAGGGCUCGCAGGCGGUUUCUUAAGUCUGAUGUGAAAGCCCCCGGCUCAACCGGGGGGGGUCACUGGAAACUGGGAAACUUGAGUGCAGAAGAGGAGAGUGGAAUUCCACGUGUAGCGGUGAAAUGCGUAGGGAUGUGGAGGAACACCAGUGGCGAAGGCGACUCUCUGGUCUGUAACUGACGCUCAUGCACGAAAGCGUGGGGAGCAAACAGGAUUAGAUACCCCCGUAGUCCCUGUCUCUUAUAC
rnacentral:rRNA from 1 species